rnacentral:rRNA from 1 species
AAACCAGCACCUCAAGUGGUCAGGAGGAUUAUUGGGCCUAAAGCAUCCGUAGCCGGCUCUGUAAGUUUUCGGUUAAAUCUGUACGCUCAACGUACAGGCUGUCGGGAAUACUGCACAGCUAGGGAGUGGGAGAGGUAGACGGUACUCGGGAGGAAGUGGUAAAAUGCUUUGAUCUCUCGAUGACCACCUGUGGCGAAGGCGGUCUACCAGAACACGUCCGACGGUGAGGGAUGAAAGCUGGGGGAGCAAACCGGAUUAGAAACCCCGGUAGUCC